UUCUGCUCCGUGAAAAUACCAAAUUAAAUUAGAGGCUAAUUAAGUAGCCAUUUUCAAAAUCCUCCUUAUUCUCUCCCCAAAAAUCACGCCAUUCUCCUCCCAAAUCUCUCAAUCUUUAUUUCAAUUAUUCUCCCAUAUCCUCUAAAUUAAUUGUGGAAUAAUUAGUUUCCCUAACUCUAUAAAUAGGGACUUAACAAAAUCCCUAGCCCUAGCCACCCUCAAAUCACACGCCCACUUCUCAAAUCACACGCCCCCUCCCACUUUUCAUCUCCUCCCACACUUGUUCAUCCAUUCUACUCAAGAUCCCAUCAAUUCCCCAAGAGAUUAUUGAAGAACCAAGGUUUUGUUCGCUUUCUACCGAUUGUUUCGUCCAAGAGAGGUUGAGCAGCGACGAGCGGUUGGUGGUGUUGAGCAGAAAUAAUAAUAUGGUUAUUUUGAAACUUCGAGUGUCGUUGUGUCUUCACACAUGACUUCACUCUUCUCUUGGAUGCUUCCGCUGUGAUAUUAUCUUUACUUAUAUUUUUAUUUAACUAUGAAACUGUUUGAUUGAAUGUUGAAAUCUCGUACCCUUUUUUUAUAAAUGUCAAACCUUUGGUCUUUGCUUUUAUUUUAAAUAUCUUUGGCCGUUUAAUUAGUAAACUUAAAUUCUUGGUCAAACUUUUAUUGAAACCCUAGUCUUCUAUGUCCUUUCAUUUAAACCCCUUUAAGUCGCGAUCGCCCGCUUUUAUUAACCCUAAGGGGCGGUCGUGACAAGAAUUGUAGUGUUAACUUCUGAAACUUAUAAUGGCAAUGACUGUUUCUUAGCUUGUAUAUUUGCUCAUGUAUAAAUUUUAGCCUAUGGUUAAUUCUUUUUUAGUUCUACAGUGUUUUUUACAUUCCAUAAGUGUACUGUGCUUUUUUUAAAUUCCGGCUUUGGGAGAGACGCAUGAAGGUCAUGCGUCAUCGUUAAAUGAAACGCAUGACCGUGAUGCGUUUUAGGGUAAUACGCAUGACCUUAAUGCGUCUUUCAAUUUUUUUUAUUUUAAUUAAACGACGCAUGACACACAUGCGUCUUAGGGUAAAACGCAUGACACACAUGCGUCUCUCUUUUGAAUUAAAUCACAAGGCAGAACACAGAACACCACAGAACAUAGCGAAUUCAAAAAGACAACGGUGAUUCUUGGUGAUUUCCGGCGACUUCUUCCAAUUUUCCGUUUUAUUCCGGAUUAGAUGGCAACUUCAAGUUCGAUAGGACAAUUGUUAUAUGGACCUGAAGAUCCGUCAGUUCUAUAUCUUCAGAAAAACCACACAUCAAAUAAACUAAUGACGGAUGGGACAUCACAUAUUUUCAAAGUUCGCCGGACGGAAAGUAAGAUAUGGAAAGUGGAUAUUCAUGCCGAUGUGAGACAUUGGCUUAAUAUGUUUGGUUUCCGAGGUGUGAUGGAAUGUGGGAAGUCGAUGAAGGUCGACAAUGAGCUUAUCACAGCUUUGGUUGAGCGUUGGAGGCCGGAGACGCACACUUUCCAUCUACCGGUUGGAGAUGCGACAGUCACCUUAGAAGAUGUGCAAGCGUUGUGGGGCUUAAGAGCAGACGGUCAUGUUUUCACAGGCCGUGAUCAUCAUGUUGGAUAUACCGAUUGGCCCAGCAAGUGCCGAGGUUUGUUGGGAUGGAUACCCGAUACACAAUCAGAGACAAAGCAAUGCGGUAUACUGAUGACCGCUCUGAUCAAUCAAACGAGGAUACCUUUGGGUGAUGACCUACCUACUUAUGUCUACAUCCAAAGGGUACGUAUCCAUGCCCUAAUCUUAUUAUGAGGACUCAUUCUACCUAACACGACGGGGUGUAAGGUUCCUUUUAUGUGGUUGAAUGCAUUUGAGGAACCGGACGAGGUACACAAUAUUAGUUGGGGAAGUGCGGCUUUGUCGUACUUGUAUCAUUAUCUGUGCGAGGCUUCUAUGGAUAAGAGGAAAGAGUUGGGCGGGCCUAUGAUGCUUCUGCAGCUAUGGGCGUGGGAAAGAAUGCCCACAUUGAGGUCGUCGUUUGUAGUAGCGCUCGUGCACGAGCCGUAUACGCCAUGUGGAGCCAGGUGGAAAGGAACUACACAAAUAGGAAAUGCUCCUAGAUUUUCGGUGGAGCAUUACCGUGAUCAAAUAUCCUUGAUUAGACAUGGCCAGAUGAAUUUUAUUUUUAUGUUGACUUAAUUUAUGAAUUUAUUAUGAAGUUAAUUUAGCGUUUGCAUUGUUGGUUUGUAGUUUAUGUGGACGCCAUAUGCAGAUUGCAUACUGCCUGACUAUUGCAAUGAUGUGAAUGGAUGCUCCAUGUGCGACACUUACUUGGUGUGUUGGGCCUAUGUCGAGGCACAUGAGGCUGGACGAGUGCGCAGAAAAUUUAAUCGGUACCAGGAUAUUCCUCAAUUAGUAGAUAGGAUGCUCAAAAAUGCUGAUCAUUUGGGUAAAAAUGAUCGGCGUGGUAAGAAGGGUAAUAAUUGGGAAAACACGCAUCAGUUCUACAUUAGGGAGUGGGACAUGAGGUAUGAAAGGUUCCAAGAAACCGUAGACGCCGCAACGAUGUCCAUGAACAUUCCAUUGAGUCCGGGGUAUAUGGCGUGGUAUAACAGGAUUACAGUGACGUACCUGACUCAACCUGGGGUACAGUCAAAUGCUGAGAUGAACGAGUCGGCUUCUUCAAUGAGAUUACUUAUUCGAGAAAUUGCUAGGCAUGUCCUUCAGUCUACGAACCACGCCAAUGUCAUGGAGUACCCGGCUUCCCAACACCAAGAUGUGGUCAUGCCUUAUGAACCACAAGUAAUUCCACCACGUCGUGGAGUGACUGGUGUUCGAACUGGUGGACACGGUUUCACAAAAUAGUUUAGGAUGUCGAAGUCGCAUCCCGAUUAUGUGGUACCAGAGCCUAUGAAUCCAGAGCAUGACCCUCCUCCGUGGCCUUUCUAACUGGCGCAUGAGUCUCAAUCACAGUGGGAUCAUCCCCUCUAUUCCCCAAGCCAACUUGAGCCUGAUUAGAAUCGUCGCCCAUAUUCACAAAGCCAAGAUGUGCCGCAAUGGAGUAGAGCCCGAGUAUCAGUCGAUUCAUUCUUCCAAAAUUAUCAGUUUGUGCUUCCUAUACGAGUUGAAGAAGAAGACAAUGAUGAAGGAGAAGAAGAAAAUGAUGAAAGAGAAGAGGAAUAUGAGGAAGAAGAGGUUGUUCAGAACAUCUAUGUCCAACCUCGACCAGUUGCGGAGGGUUCAUCACGCACCGGGGUUGGGAAGUACAUGAGCAAAGUGAUGAAGAGAUUGUCAACCAGGAAGAAUAGGGGGAUUGAACCGUCGAAAUACACCCCGUUGUCGUAUAAGUAGCUCAUUUUUCAUUAUAUAUUGAUGUUUUUAUACUUGAUUAACAGGUUUAUGGUGACAUAUUUUAAGAUGAAUUCUUGCAAAAAAAAAUUUAUAAGAAUGUCUUUUUUGUGUUA